ACGAGGUAGAUAGGUUGGAGGUGGAAGUGCAGCAAUGCAUGGAGCUGACCAAUACUAAUCGGUCGAGGGCUUAUCCUAC
rnacentral:rRNA from 1 species